CAGAGGCCCAAGUUCUGUUCUGGGAACAGGUAGCAUUUUGUAGGGCCAGUCUUCCACCUGGGGGCAUCUGGAAAUGCUAACAAAAACCAGGGCACCCUGGGCUGAGUCAGAAGACACAGAAUGGAGUUGGGAGGAGUUUUCUUGAAAAUAAUGGAUCGGCAUUUCUUUGGAAGUCGCCCCACCUCAGCAGGAUUCCGAAGACGAGGAGUUGCUUCCCAGCACCCUGACUCAGGCAAUCCAAGCGCCCGGUUUCCAACCAGCGGGGACCCUGAGGCAAGUCUUGCUAUGGGAAGAUAAACCGGUUGUGAUUACCUCCACCUUCGGCAAAGCCUCGGCCUCCGACUACUGUGAGAACCUCAUUCCCAGGAAGAAGAAUGACCCUGAGUUGCAAGAGUACAUGGGACACCUCCCUGGCCAGACCGUGAGCUUCCUAAGAGCAGGAACUGGGUCACACUGGUCCUCCUUUCCCUCCAGGUCCCUGUACCUGUCUAUCUGAGUACAUGGUCAAGGAAGAUGUGUCAACUGUGGUGGGGAAGAGAAAAGGGGAAUUCGAAUCUCCAAUGUCAUGCAGUCAAGGAGGAAGAAGAACAGAGGUCUUGAAGGCCAAUCCUCCCGC